AGCAGCCGCGGUAAUUCCAGCUCCAAUAGCGUAUAUUAAAGUUGCUGCAGUUAAAAAGCUCGUAGUUGAAUUUCGGGACUAAUAUGUCGGUCGUGCCUCGGUACGUACUGGUUUAUUGGUUUCUCCUUUCUGAAGAACCAUGAUGUCAUUUAUUUGGUGUCGUGGGGAAUCAGGACUGUUACUUUGAAAAAUUAGAGUGUUUAAAGCAGGCUCACGCUUGAAUACAUUAGCAUGGAAUAAUGAAAUAGGGCGUUUGAUUCUAUUUUGUUGGUUUCUAGGAUCGACGUAAUGAUUAAUAGGGAUAGUUGGGGGCAUUAGUAUUCAAUUGUCAGAGGUGAAAUUCUUGGAUUUAUUGAAGACUAACUACUGCGAAAGCAUUUGCCAAAGAUGUUUUCAUUAAUCAAGAACGAAAGUUAGGGGAUCGAAGACGAUCAGAUACCGUCGUAGUCUUAACCAUAAACUAUGCCGACUAGGGAUCGGAUGAUGUUAAUUUUUUAAUGACUCAUUCGGCGCCUUAACC
rnacentral:misc_RNA from 1 species